GGCGGUGGGGGCUUGGCGGUUAAGGCUCGGGGUUACUGAUCAGAAGGUCGGGGUUCAAGCCCCUGCACUGCCA